AAUAACACGUGUCCUUUCUUCCCUCUCUAUGCAGGUCGGUUCUGCCACGUGUGUACAAUGAAGACCGGGGGCAAAACUACUCGGCCUGAAAGCGAUGGGGUCACCUGAAAUGCAUAGAGGUGUUAAAAGCUUCAGGGAAAUAUUUUUAAAAAGCUCAUAGGGAAGAAACGGGACCAUGAAGGACUGGUGAGAGCAAGAUGAUUGGGUUAGAAAAACUGGACCAUUUCUUCAAAAUGUUUCCAAGAAGCAUGGAUGUAAAGGAUUCUUUUGGCUCAUUCUGAGGGCUUGAAAGUAGAUCACAAAAGCCUUUUGCCAUUAGGAGUGGAAAAGCUGGCUGAUCCUUGCACCAUGCUUGCUUGCAUGCACUAUUAAGGUUCGAGGAUUCUGGGGUGCUGUUUGAUGGUUGGUCUGAAAUACAAGGUGUCCAAAAGAACAACUACAUUAUUUUGUUUAAAAAACCCGCAAUGCCUAAUAAGUUCUCUAUUUGCAUCCUAAUAAAAAGCAGAUGUAGCAACACGA